AUUAGAUACCCUGGUAGUCCACACUGUAAACGAUGAUAACUCGCUGUCGGCGAUAGACCGUCGGUGGCCAAGCGAAAGCGAUAAGUUAUCCACCUGGGGAGUACGACCGCAAGGUUGAAACUCAAAGGAAUUGACGGGGGCCCGCACAAGCGGAGGAACAUGUGGUUUAAUUCGAUGAUACGCGAGGAACCUUACCCGGGCUCGAACGGUGCAUGAAUGUUCAAGAGAUUGGACAGUCCUUCGGGACAUGUAUCGAGGUGCUGCAUGGUUGUCGUCAGCUCGUGCCGUGAGGUGUCGGCUUAAGUGCCAUAACGAGCGCAACCCUUGUCAUUAGUUACCAUCAGGUCAAGCUGGGGACUCUAGUGAGACUGCCACCGUAAGGUGUGAGGAAGGGGGGGAUGACGUCAAAUCAGCACGGCCCUUAUGUCCGGGGCGACACACGUGUUACAAUGGGAGGUACAGAGAGCAGCCAGUUAGUGAUAACGCGCCAAUCUCAAAAACCUUUCUCAGUUCGGAUUGGAGUCUGCAACUCGACUCCAUGAAGUUGGAUU
rnacentral:rRNA from 1 species